UCCAAAGGGAAGGUUAAGAUGAUUCACCCA
rnacentral:piRNA from 1 species